AUUCAGUUGACGAGUCCCAAAUAGGAGGAAAAGUGUAUCCUGGAU
rnacentral:hammerhead_ribozyme from 1 species